rnacentral:rRNA from 1 species
AGAGUUUGAUCCUGGCUCAGGAUUAACGCUGGCGGCAUGCCUAAUACAUGCAAGUCGAACGGAAAAUAUAUAGAUGCUUGCAUUUAGAUAUUUUUAGUGGCGAACGGGUGAGUAAUAUAUAGAUAACCUACCUUUAAGUUGGGGAUAACAGAGGGAAACUUUUGCUAAUACCGAAUAAAAUAAUUAGACGCAUGUUUAAUUAUUAAAAGGGGCUCCAAAGCCCCGCUCGAAGAGGGGUCUAUAUCGCAUUAGCUAGUUGGUAAGAUAACAGCCUACCAAGGCGAUGAUGCGUAGCUGUACUGAGAGGUAGAACAGCCACAUUGGGACUGAGAUACGGCCCAAACUCCUACGGGAGGCAGCAGUAGGGAAUUUUCGGCAAUGGGGGGAACCCUGACCGAGCAAUGCCGCGUGAUUGAAGAAGGUCUUCGGAUCGUAAAGAUCUGUUAUUAGGGAAGAAUGGAAUUGAUAGGAAAUGAUCAAUUUAUGACGGUGCCUAAUGAGGAAGCCCCGGCUAACUAUGUGCCAGCAGCCGCGGUAAUACAUAGGGGGCGAGCGUUAUCCGGAAUUAUUGGGCGUAAAGGGUACGUAGGCGGGCCUGCAAGUCUGAUUUGAAAGCACACGGCUUAACCGUGUGAGGUAAUUAGAAACUACGGGUCUAGAGAGUGGUAGAGGUAAAUGGAAUUCCAAGUGGAGCGGUGAAAUGCGUAGAGAUUUGGAGGAACACCAGUGGCGAAGGCGGUUUACUGGGCCACAUCUGACGCUGAUGUACGAAAGCGUGGGGAGCAAACAGGAUUAGAUACCCUGGUAGUCCACGCCGUAAACGAUGAGUGCUAAGUAUCGGUAGAAUCGGUGCUCAAGCUAACGCAGUAAGCACUCCGCCUGGGGAGUACGGUCGCAAGACUGAAACUCAAAGGAAUUGACGGGGACUCGCACAAGCGGUGGAGCAUGCGGUUUAAUUCGAUGCAACGCGAAGAACCUUACCAGGUCUUGACAGUGUAAAGAAUACUUAAGAGAUUAAGGGCUAAGAAUUAAGCUUGCUUAUUUCACUUUAUAAACAGGUGGUGCAUGGUUGUCGUCAGCUCGUGUCGUGAGAUGUUGGGUUAAGUCCC